rnacentral:RNase_P_RNA from 1 species
GGAGUUGGCCAGGCAAUCGCCGCUUUCUUUUGAAAGGGGAGGAAAGUCCGGGCUCCACAGGGCAGGGUGCCAGAUAACGUCUGGGCGGCGCGAGCCGACGACCAGUGCAGCAGAGAGUAAACCGCCUAAGCGCGUAAGCGCCGGUAAGGGUGAAAGGGUGCGGUAAGAGCGCACCGCACAGCUGGCAACAGUUUGUGGCAUGGUAAACUCCACCCGGAGCAAGACCAAAUAGGAUCCCGUUACGUGCGGCCCGCAUGGGGAUCGGGUAGGUUGCUGGAGCCAGUCAGCAAUGACUGGCCUAGAGGAAUGGUUGCCCACGACAGAACCCGGCUUAUCGGCCGACUCCACUC